rnacentral:piRNA from 1 species
UCCUUAGCUACUCCCCGCUUCAUAAGUGUC